GACCUACUCCCUUCGUUCCGAAUUACUUGUCUUAAAUUUGUCUAGAUACGGAAAUAUCUAGUACUAAAAUAAGUCUAGAUACAUCCGUAUGUAGACAAAUCCAAGACAAGUAAUUCGGAACGGAGGGAGUAGCAG
rfam:Triticum urartu cultivar G1812 contig969340, whole genome shotgun sequence.